rnacentral:rRNA from 1 species
UGAGCGACCUACCUAAUUGUGGGGGAUAGCCGGCCCAACGGCCGGGUAAUACCGCAUACGAUCGGAGAGGGGCAUCCCUUUUUGAGGAAAGCCUUCGGGCGCAAUUUGAGGGGCUCGCGGCCUAUCAGCUAGUUGGCGGGGUAACGACCCACCAAGGCGACGACGGGUAGCUGGUCUGAGAGGACGACCAGCCACACUGGAACUGAGAUACGGUCCAGACUCCUACGGGAGGCAG